AGGACGAACGCUGGCGGCGUGCUUAACACAUGCAAGUCGAGCGGAAAGGCCCUUCGGGGUACUCGAGCGGCGAACGGGUGAGUAACACGUGAGUAAUCUGCCCCUAGCUCUGGGAUAGCUCCGGGAAACCGGGAAUUAAUACCGGAUAUGACCACUUUAGACAUCUGUUGUGGUGGAAAGAAUUUCGGCUAGGGAUGAGCUCGCGGCCUAUCAGCUUGUUGGUGGGUAACGCCUACCAAGGCGACGACGGUA
rnacentral:rRNA from 1 species